CACACAGGUGGGGAAGGUUAGAAGGCAACAGAUAGAGAAUGGUACUGAUUGUGUUAAGCAUAAAACACCAUCUGUUUCAUAAGUAAGACGGGAACAAAAUCUGCACGUCUUGAGGGAUACUAUCCCGCUGCUAGAAGUCAGUGCUCUUUUUUAUUUAUUUUUUAUUUUCUUGCUACAUUUUCAAGCUUCAGCAUAAAGCAGUUAGAACGUAGAAAUGGUCAGCUCAUAAAUCAGGGGGCUGUUGAAAAGAUGCUGAAGUUUAAAUUACCACAGGGCCUCUCGGCCCUGUAACAUGUCAGGAAAAGAGGGAAUUUUAAAUGAGUAUUGUGGUUGGCAUGAGAGAAGAUAGAAUGAAUUUCAGUUCCCAAAGUUUUUAAAUAGAGGAGUACACGCUUAAAUAUCAACAAAUGUGAUGGUGAAAAUGUUCUUCCUUGACUAUUGCUUUCUUCUCAAUUUCAAAUGACCAAGUGGAAAAAAAAAAGGUUUUGGAAUGGCACAGUCAAUAGGACAGCAUAUUAACUUAUUUGUUAUCGAAUCAGAAAACUUUCUUGAGGGUUGCUGGUUAUGAAGAAGCAUUACAAGCAAAGAUACAUGGCUGAAUGCCAAUGUGACUAAGCUGCAGAGCUAUGUGGAUGCUGUGGGCCCUGCACAUGGCCACAAGGGGAAAGGGGCAAUGCUCCUCUGUGCUGUAUAUGCAGAAAAUUCUGCAUGGGAAAAGCUGUGGGUGGGAGCAGAUAGCUGCAAACUUCUGAAAGAGAAGGUGUGUUGGAAUGUUAAAAUGAAAGACAAAGAUUUCAGAAGAUCUUGAAGACGAUGAUGUGCUCAGAAAUCAUCUGCCCAUAUGAAGUGCUUCUUUCUGAAUCCAAAGGCUGAAUGUGUCCUAAUACAUCAAAAAUCUAUCUUUGGAAGCAUGCUCCCCUGCUCAAACAUUUAAAACACCAGGAUUUCAUCACGGGGCAGACUAAGUGCAAGAAUUCUUCCCGGGUGUUGAAGUUCUGCAACCACCACCACACUGUAGAUAGAAGCUUUACAUAAAAUCAGUAGUCAACAGCUGCGUGAGGGAAUCCCGCUAACAGAAGCUGUGUCAAUGCCAGGGGCAGUUCCAAUUCUAUGCACCAUCAGGACCGGACAGCAACGGGCGGACGGAGAUGGUGGAUGAGAGCUGCCAGGUGCAUGCAACUUCUUGCCCAAGAUUUCCAAGACCUGAUGGUGUGGAGAGCUUUAAAAGAAGGAUCUGAAGGAAAGCAGUGAUGCAACUUCGUGGGUGCCUCUUGCUGUGAUUUAGUGCUGUCUGUGCUCAGGCACCAGCUCAGCCUGCAGCCAGGCAUCACUUCUAUCACUAAAGUAGUGCUGCACACUGUGUGGAUAUCCCACAGACUAGUCAAAAGAGGACAAAGCAUCUCUCCUCUCACUUGGAGUACAGCAUGCACCAGUAACUUGCAUGAGAAUUGUAUUACCCAGAACCUGCAUGAUGACUUCACACACCACAAAAUAUGGGCAGUCACAGGAGUGCAACUGCAGGGGCCCUCCUUGGCUUUCUUCAGAUCACAGUUUGCCAGCUCCCAUCCCAGAAAUGUGAGUCCUGAGAAUGACUGCAGAAACUUUUACUUGUCUGAGCUCCAGGAGUAUUUAUGUAAUUUAAUCGAUGAACUGCACUGAUUUAUUUGCACUAAGUAACUCCUUGGGAUCUGGAUAAUAGAUAAGGGUGUGCACAGUGCUGUACAAACACAUCAUAAAUAAAUGCAGCUUGCAAAUCAAUUGUCAGAUAUUGAUGAUUAAUCUCCUUAUAGUAAAAUAAUGUUACAUCUGUCCAUUAUGGCUUUUUUUUCUUUUCUUUUAAUUU
ensembl:lncRNA